CUUUUUUUUUUUUUGACCGAAGAUAUUAUAAUUCAAACACUAUUCACAAAGCCAAGUAGUCAACCAUUUAGGCAAUAAAGUUGUCAUAAAGGAACCUGAUUGGAAUGAAUAAAGGCAAUAAGGCAAGCAUCAUUUUUCAUUUGUUUCCCUACGUCUCUAUCAUUUGAUUUUUAACCAAACAAAAUAGGGGCAUAGAAUGAUAGAAUAUGAAAAAGAAAUAAAAUGUACAUUGAGAUGCAUGAAUAACGGAAAAAUGAAAAGUAAAGAUUAUUUCAAUUAUCCCUGUUUGGGCUCAUUUGAUCCAAAAUACUUUUUUUUUUCUCUUCCCUUUUUAAUAAGACAUUUUCAAUAAAAUAAUAGAGGAAAUUACAUAAAACCAAGUAGUUAAACUUUCAAAUUUAAAAUUCAGGGGUGAAGUUUAUUUAUGCAAAAAGUAGGUAUGAAUUAAAGUAUUUAACCAACCACCCACUACAAAACCUAAUCCCCGUAUCUAUUCUCUUCUGCAUAUUCUCUCUUCUCUCAACAACAAUAGUAGCGUCACCCUAGAAGAGAAUCUCCGACGUGACGGCGUCACUACCAAAAGAUUUCUUGGUGUGGUGUUGAGGGCGAUUUCUUCUAUUUUGAUAUCAAACACGUAAAUAAUUUUAAGCUUUGUUUUGUUAUUAUUAUUUUGUAAUUUUGUUUAUGAAUAUAUUAAUUAUUUAAUUAAUAUUCAACUCAAAUUAUUCACCAUUAAUUUCUUUCAAUAAUCUUUUUUAUAGAACAUAUUAUAAUUCAAGCACUAUUCACAAAGUCAACAAUGUAAUCUUAUCCACACAUUUCAUGAGAUUAUUAUUUUUAGCAAUUUUGCAGCUUAUAUCAAAAUAUACUAAAAAUAUUAUUAUUACAUACAUUGACAUGUGCCUAACAAAGUGAUAACCGUGUGAGUGCGCAUCUUUUGUACGUUUAAAAAAAUAAAUAAAUAACAGACGAAUAAAUUGCACAUUUAGUAUCUAACUUUGACCUCCUCUUAUAAACUUGUUCACUAAUUUAAAUUUUGAACUUUUAAAUCCAAUGAAAGAGAUGUUCAUGAUCUAACAAACUAAAUUAAAAAAAGUAAGAAUCUAUACUCAUUAAAGUAUUUGGAUGUUUGCAGAUUGGAAAAAAGACAGAGUCUUCAUUUUUCACCAAUUUGACACCUUCUCUUUUUUAUUUACUUAGUCCUUGUUUGAGCCCCAUUUUUUUAUCAAAAUAUAUUUUUCAUGAUUUGACAUCAUUUCAAAAACACGUCUUUCAAUAAAAUAAUAUUACACUCAAACCCAAAACUUUUUCUUAUUUUCUAACCACACAUUCUCCAUCAUAAAACUAUAUGGGGCUCAACCUUAGUUGCCAAAAACGAUUAUUUCAUUAGUUGUCAAAACAAAUUGUGUUGUAUUAAAGUGAAAUAGAAAUAAAUAUCCAAAUCAGUUUUGCUUGGAACUCACCUAUUAACUUUCAAAGAGAAUAAAUUAAAUCCUAUACAUCGAUCUAUCAAACAAAUCAACUUUUUUAGCGAUCUAAUUUAAUGUACAAACCUCUACUAAAAAUUUAAAAAUUUAUAAUGUCGCUACCUAAGGCGCAUUCACUUAUAUGUAGAUAAAGUUGAUUGAAAUACAAAUAAUCAACAUGUUACACGUACAUUUUCUUUGACAUCAUGUUUGACAUUCAACAAAUGACAGCAAUCUUGGCCUUUAAUUUUAAACUAGUCACUGUCACAUGCGUUGCACAAAUUUUGUAUUUAUCAUAUUUUUAUUAGUGUAUGAAUUUUAGUUUUUUAGAAAGUUUUUGAAGCAAUAUCUAGAAAUAUUUUCAUGAUAUAAAAAAAUAAUUGCAAUUUAUUUUUACAAUUGUAUAACAGUAUUGUGUCAUCUAGAAAAAAUAUACUUAUGUACUUCAUACUUGAAUAAGAAAUAUACAAGAUUAUACAAAUUAUUUUACUUGUAUUCUUUGAUAGUGUUGAUAUGAUUGAGUUGAAUGUGAAUAUUAUAUUUCUAAAUUUUGUGUAAUUCAAUAUUGGAAAAUUGAAAAUUGAGCACCAUAUUCAUAUGCGUUUAUAUUUUGUGCUUCAUAUAUAUAUAAUAUUUAUUUUAUGCUUAUGUUGAAUAAAUAAAAAUCUGAAAUUUUUUUUGAAAUUCGAUUUGGUAAGUGAAUGUACAGUGUUCUGUAUUUUCGGUAUUUGUAAGUGUAAAAAUCGGUAUAUAAAAAUACAGUAUGCUGCAAAUAUGGUAGGCAACAUAAACGGUAAGUUGUAAAUACAGUAGGCAGCAUAUAUGGUAAACUGCAAAUACGGUAAGAUGCAAAUACAGUAAGUUGUUUGCAAAUACGGUAGGCUGCAAAUACGGUAAGUUGCAAAUACGGUAGGCAACAUAUAUGGUAAGCUGUACAUACAGUAAGCUGUCUGCAAAUACGGUAAGCUACAUAUAUGGAUUUAUAAUUUGUUAUAAAUGUAUAAAAGUUAUUUAAUAUUGAAUUUCUUAAGUAUUAAAUAUUGUAAUUCAAUAUUGUUUCCUUUUUUAUAAUUGUAUUUCCAAGAAUUUUAAAAAAAAAGUGAUUAUGAAAUUACUAAUUUUUAAAUAUAUUUUUUGUUGAAGAUAAAAAUGAUUUUUUUAUGUUAUUUUUAAAAAAAAAUUAUUGUAAUUUUAUUAGCGUAAUAAGAAGAUUUAUUAUACAUUUUUAUUUUUUACAUUUUGUGAAGAAUUUUGUUUAUGGUGAUUGACAAAUAUUUUUCCACACACGCAUCAUGCCAUCAACAUUAAAAAAAUAAUAAUAAUUUUAGUAUAUAUAAACUCCAUGAGACAAAAAAAAAAAAAAACUCUCCGCACAUGAGCAAAAAAAAAAAAAAGUACUCCACAUAAUGUAGAGAGAUGGCUCCGCACAGUAUGAAUAGAAAAAUAAAAACUCUCCGCACAGUACAGAGAGAGAAACCAAACUCUCCGCACAAUGCGAAGAGAAAACAAAAACUAUCCGCACUGUGCGGAGAGAUAUAUGGCACUCUCUCCACGCAGUGCGGAGAGAAAAACCAAACUCUCCGCACAGUGCAGACUCUCUUCUUUUUUCUUUUUCUUUUUUCUAUUCUCGAAAAUACAAUUAUAUAAAAAGAAAAACAAUAUUGAAUUAGUACUUAAGAAGUUCAAAUUAAAUAAAUUUUAUACAUUUAUAACAAAUUAUAAAUCGACGUAUAUGUAAUAUACCGAAUUUUUUCAUUGUCGUCUUACUUACUUCCAUGCUAUAGAUCACAAUUAUGCUGACUUUUUGUCCUUUAGAGCAUCCAUGAUUUCCUAAGACCCUUCAAUGUGUUUUUUUCAGUAAACUUUUAACAAAUCAACAGCAAAAGAAAAAAGAAUUAUUCCCUAGUAAAUGAUCAAUUCUAUGUGCAAAAUUAUAUGAACUAUAUGGGAUUGAAAAUAAAUAUGGUUGAUAGGAUUGAAAGUUCCCCUUUCUAAUAGAUGCAGUGAUUUGUCAUUAAGCUUAUUGAUCUUAACUGGGUGGGUGUUUUGUGUAUCAUUUUGGCACGUAAUUAAACAAUAAAGCUAGCUUCUGUCUAUGGAACUAUUUUGUUACCUUAGUACGCAACAUUUCGUGAAUCUUUGAAUAUUAGACUAUAUUUGAUCAAUUCUACUCUUUCUUUUCAUUUACUAUUUUUCUUGCAAGCAAGUGGAUUCAGGAAUCGAAUACAUAGUUUCAUAACAAAUAUAUAGUCUAUAUAGGUUCAUUUGAAAAAUGAAAUAAUAAAAUAAAAUUGUAGAGCUUUCUCUAGUCUCUACAAACGAAAAUGUGGUUUGACUAAUCAAUCAAAAUAUCCAUAAUUAAAAGUUGAGUACGAAUGUGGUUUGAGCAAUCAACUCUCCCCGCACAGUGCGGAGAGUUUUGGCAUGGUACAGAGAGUUUGCAAACUCUCCGCAAUGGUUUGCCAUCUUUUCGCACUAUGCAGAGUUUUUUUUUUCUUUUUUUACUCCACAAUGGUUUGUCAUCUCUACGCAUUAUGCGAAGAGAUUUUUUUUUAAUGCUCAUGUGUGGAGAGUUUUUUUUCUCAUGGCAGUUUAUAUAUACUAAAAUUAUUAUUUUUUUUUAAUGCUAAUGGUAUGAUGUGUGGAAGAACACUUGUCUGACCAUAAACAAAAUGAAAAAUAAAAAAUGACAUUACGCACAGUAAAAUUGGAUUAAUUUACUGUUACAUCAACAGUAGACCCUCCUUUCCCUUUUAUAAGAAGUUAGAUAUACUCCAUCAAAUCACUGGUCAAAUUUCAUCCACGUAAUAGGUUGUCAUCCUUAAUGUUUAUAAUUGAAUUGAGUCUCGUAGUGUUUCAAUUUCUUUCAGAAAGAGAAGGGAGUUGGACAAAUAUAAAAACUAUCAAUAACCCCAUAACAUGUUAUUCUGAUUAUUUAAUAAUAACUUUUUCCUCGUUAAAGUUGGUAUGGUCCCUCUAGGAAUCUGAGACUGCAUCAUGUGCAUUUCAAUAAUUAAUGUAGAAUACGGGAAAACACAUCUUGGACUAAAAAUGAACGAGUCCAUGCACGCAGUUGCAAUGUAGUCCUCAUUCAAUUUAUUUAUUUUUAUUUGCAUAGUCAUCACAAUUUAUGUGGUGCUGUUCAGUUUACAAGCAUCACUGUUAAUUUUAACUUAGGGUACAUUUGAUUGCAAAAAUAUAAUUUGGAUGGAAAGAAAACGAAUUUCAAGCAAUUGAGUUGCCUAAAAAUUAUUUUAUUGAGAAUUGUCAAUUAAUAGUGUUUGAUUGGUAUAAUUUUUCACCUAAAAAAUGCUGAAAUAAAAGCGUAUUUUGGUGUUCGUUUAACUUUGUUUUUCAUAAAAAUUGUCAAUUUACGAGAUAUUCUCUUUUACAAUUAUUCCUAGAACUUGUUUCCAUUACAAAAAAUAACAACAACAACAACAACAACAACAAUAAUAAUAAUAAUAAUAAUAAUAAUAAUAAAAUCAAUCAAAAAUCAUCUAUCUUUUGGUGUUUAGUUGGUUUUAUUUUAUAUGAAAAUUGUCAAUUUAAGUGAUAUUCUCUUUUAUAAUUGUUCAUAGAAUUUGUUUCAAUUGCCAAAAAAAAAAAUUAGGAAAAUCUUGGAAAUGGUGGGAAUUGCUUUUUUUCAAAAAGCUAGAAAAAUCUGAUGUGGCAAGGAUUUGGGGAAAAUCAUUUCCAUGGAAAAAUUUUAGCAUCAAACAAGUUAAAAAGUGAGAAAUGGAAUUUAAUUUCCAUUUUCCAUGGAAAAGAAGUGCCUAUCAGACAUGGCCUUAUUAUUUUUAUAGAGCAACAUUUAUGAGAAAAGAUUAAAGUUUAAAAAUAUCAUUCCUUCAUUCUAUUGAGUUUAAUAUACCAAAUGUUAUAAAUAUUUAAAGUUUUAUAAAGAUUCUCAAUGGACAUUGGUCUCAUGUCUAAUCUGCAGUCUACAGAUAUAAGACAAUCCAUGUGUAUAUGCUUUUGUAAUGAUCCUUCUAAAUUCAUUUUGAAUUAUGCAUUUUUUCAUUAAAAAAAUUUUAUAUUAAAAUUCAUCAUUUUCCUAUUUUAACCGAAUUAUGCUACUCGUACAAAGUGAAUUGUGCCCUGCCGUUGCUUGUACAAGAAGAAAUAUCAAAAUCCUUUUUAAUCAUACCUUCUAAAAUAAUAAUAACAAUAAUAAUAAUAAUAAUAAUAAUAAUAAUAAUAAUAAUAAUAAUAAUAAUAAUAAUAAUUUCACAAAACUUAUUUGCAAAAAAUUAAAUCAAACGUGCCUUGUAUAUUGAGCAAGAAAAUCUAAUGAAAGUAUCAAUCUAUCAUUUUCUUACCACCAUGACCCUCGUUUCUUUCAGAUUUUGAGUGUAGUCAAAAACGUUUAUGUUAUAGAGUCCUAUGACAAGUCUAAUGAAAGAGAUGUCAGUGAUUUAACAAACGCAAAUAUAAGAACCUACCCUCACAAAAGUAUUUGGAUGUCUACGGAUUUGGAAAAGAACAAUGCUUCGACAUGGGCAAUAAUAGGGAUAACGGUGACAGGGUGAUGUGACAAACAGUGAUUAGGUAUUGUGUUUUUUUUUUCCGAACGGUCAAAUCAUGUAUUGACAUGUCCUGUUUUUCAUUGAGCCUAUCACUACAGCAAGAUUAUUUGAAAAAAGACUAAAGUCUUCAUUAUUCACCAAUCCGACGCCUUCUCUUUUUAAUUUCAUAGUUAUCAAAAAUGAUUUUGUUGUAGGAGGUGAUCUAACAAAUUUAAACAGUAUAAAAGUGAAACAAAAAUAAAUAUCCAAAUUAAUUUUGCCUAGAAACUCACGGAUUAAAUCUUCAAAGAGAAUAUAUUAAAUCCUAUACAUCAAUAUAUAAUUUUUUCAGGAUAAAUCUAUUUGUACAUAAUUUUUUGUACAUCAAGGUGGCCUUUAUUCACAUGGGGUGGGUUCCACCAUAUAAAUUUUUUGUACAUUAAGGUAUCCUCCAUUCAAAUGGGAUCCUAUGUGAGUGAAGAACACUUUGAUGUACAAAAAAUUAUGUACACUGUGCAAAGCCCAUUUUUUUAAGAUUUAACUUACUCCAUUCACUUGUAUUUAGAUGAUUAAAUUAUUAUUUUAAUUUUUGUAGGUUUGCGAUUUUGUCUCUUCUCGUCCCAUUUAAAGUUGUAUAAAUAGUUUUCUUUUUUAAUUUUUUCAUUAAUUUUUCUUUCUUUUUUUUUUUUUUUUUUUUUUUUUUUUUUUUUUUUUUUUUUUUUUUUUUUUUUUUUUUUUUUUUUUUUUUUUUUUUUUUUUUUUUUUUUUUUUUUUUUUUUUUUUUUUUUUUUUUUUUUUUUUUUUUUUUUUUUUUUUUUUAUUUUUUUAUUAAUUUUUUUUUUUUUUUUUUUUUUUUUUUUUUGAUGU
rnacentral:lncRNA from 1 species